GUGUUUUGCUGUGGCGUUCUGUUCUAUCUCACGUCUGUUCUGCAGAGAAAAUACUGACGCUUCCUCCCACAUCAAUCUGUUGCUGAAACAACUAUUCGUACUGCUUUAAAAAUAUCACAUAAAUCUGAUGGUUCGGUUCCCGGUUUGGCGUGGCUGCUUCCACCAAAUAUAGAUUUAGUAAAUACUAAAAAUUAUCCGUGGUUUGCAUUGCGUGUGCUGAAGGAGUAGUCCUAAUGAUAGCCUUGGGUGAACUGGAGCCUGCGCGUCACAGAAAUGUGAUCAUGAUGCACUAAUGCCAGUUCAUUCUUUGCUCCCCUCCUGGAGCAAUGCCUACUGAUCCCUUCCAAGAGAAAAUCUGGGUGCAGAAGGCAGAUGUUUUCUCCAGUGUCCAGCGAAGCCAAAUAGCAUGAAUGGAAAGUUGCAUCAAGUUUGUUUUUCUUCACCUGAGACAGCAUUCCAGUGUUAUCAUGCUCGGUACUACCCCAAAAUCACUGACACAAAGAGAACACAAUCCUGCAAGCCUUCUGCUUGGCAGCCCCUCGCAGCGCAGGAGGUGUCGGAGGGAUGCAGCCGUUCCGGGCUCCGAGGCUGGCUGCGCUCCGGGCGCCGUGCUGCCGCAGUGACCCGCGUCAGCCUGCGAGCGGCAGCGUUCGCCCGGGUACCGGCCGCGGGGUCCCGCUUAGCUGGAAGCCGCGCAUCGCCUGAAAUGUUUAAACAUCGCUCUUGUUUUUCCGAAUGUUUGUAUAUGACAGCCCUCGUGCUGACUCUGGAUAUAGAAUGAAGCUAGAAGCGAUGCUGUGUCAACUGCAAUAAUUCUCCGUCGGUUUGCUCUAAACCCAUCAGUUAUUGUAAAGAUGCUUCUCUGCACUGCAAAAGCUUUUCUCUCGAACUUUGGGAACACUUCCAGUUUACAUAUACAUUUCAUAAGUGCCCUUCUGAAUGAGCUGCAUGCCUAGAGGUUAUAUGUAGGGGUCUAGGACGAUGCCAGCUAUUUCCAAGCUUAAGAAAAAAUGAGGCUCUUUAAGUUGAAUGAACUUCAGUUCAAAAGUUCCUAUGGUAUUUUCACAGUGGGCUACAUUAUGGUCAGCUUGUGCCACAGUUAUUCAGGUCAUACUCUGUUAAUUAAAUAUGAUUCUUAAGAAUUUUAGCAUUGGAAUGCAAGGGAGCUACAUUAUUAGUAAGGAUACAGGUAUUAGAUCAUUGUGGCUGUUUCUUGGGGCUACUUCUUUACCCACUGCAGUUACUUUACUGAUAGAUCUUCUCAAAGAGAAAAUUAAGUAAAAGUUUUGAGUAGUUUGCUAACCGUGUAUGGUGUAUAGCAUAUUCCAUGUGUACCUGAGAACAGCAUUUUUUUAUUGGUCUGUUUGAGGUGAAUUUCGUUUUUGCAAUACUAAAAUUUAUUCCCAGGAAGAGUGUGAAACUCAGGAGGGUCCUUUUUCUCAUAAAAUUUUGAUUAGGAAAUGUGGGAAGGUGGUUUUCCUAUGAGGCUGCAUUAUGCUGAGGAAGGAAUAUGGAGCUUGCAGUCUGGAUUCUUUUACUGCCUUGAGAGGCCUAUGCACAUAGCUAGUAAAGUAUUUAGUUAGGAUUCAUUAUAUACUUACACAGGAGGUAUUAAUCACUGUCUUUAAUUUCUGAAGUAGAGAAAUUAGUACCAAUUCAAUGUGAGAAGAACUGGUUAAUUUCAAAAAUGAAGAACUAAUUUGGUGUUGUAUCAUGUAUGUUCCUAAGCCCUUCAGGUUCUGUAAAGCAUAGCCUUUGCCAUCAGUGAUUAAAGUACUAAUGAAUUCAAAAUUCCAAAGAGAGAUGAGGAAGGUGAGUUAGUCUUGGUGUUUACUUGUAAGGUUGAAAAAGGUGAGAAAGGAUGUGUUCCCUUGACUCUUGAGCACUUCAGCUUCACAAAAGGAAAGAAAAAAUCCCCAUGAAUUCACAACAUCACUGUGUGUGUGCAACAGCCUUUAAAUAGACACAGAGUUUUCUCAGGAACACUAAAAUCUGCCAGUGUGCUCCAGAAACAUAAUAUAUUUUAGCAAUAUUUGUUAUGAUUAUAGUUUUAAUUUCCAGAGGCUACAUCUAGUUUUGCGUGGCUGGAAUUUAUGGAGCAGAGCUUUUGAAGGACUAGGAUUAUUUAAGAAGAAAUAUUUUCAUUUUUUCACACACAGAGGCCCUGUGAGCUUACAAAAUCCACAAACCUUUCAAUUUGGGGAGUAUUCUUUCCUGUGUUUGCAGGAACUUUUCACAUUCCUGAAUCCAGUUACGGGAUUUUCCUCCUAAUUGAAUCCAGACUUAACUCUGGAGUUACGUAUUUUGUCAAUUAGUGCAAGUAAGUUCUCUGAAGUUAUUUAGUGAGUGCAAAUAGUUUUACUUAGCACUGUCUGUAGUGCUGUGUCUCCAGUGUUUUUUGUCAUAUUCAAGCAAAGUGUGCUGGGACUUUCAUGUUCCUAAGUUUUCCAAGAAAGUCACACUGGCCUGUGUUAAUUGCAAAGUAUCAUCAGCAGUUCAGCUUAACUGUUUUUCAGGUUGCUUUUUGAAUGGUGAUGUAGCAACAGAAUUCAUUGUGUAGCUUUUCUUUCUUGGUGUUCCCCAUUGUGUGGCUCCCAGUAGGCAGCACAGUGCUGGUAGAAGCUGUGACUGGACCAAGGCAGUCUUGGGUACUACAUAUUGUGUAGCUUGGGGCCUGCUCUCCAGAGAUGCCUGGUAAGGAAGGAUGUCUUGGGGACAUGUUCCCUUCUGGGAUGUUGGGAACAAUUAUAUGGAGCCCUUUCCUCCAAAAGGAUGUGUUUCUUUCUUUGUAGCGUGAUAGGAUUCUUUUGCACGUGCAGCCUGGGGAAGCCAUGGCUGCUUGGGUUCUUUGACAUCAUCUGGGCCAACCUCGCAGCUACCAGUGUGUUAUUUGGUUUUGGUUGUUUGAUUUCCUGCUGCUUUAAGAACAGUGGGCUUCAAAUAAUGCAGUCUCAAGCCAGACUUGAUAGAAAAGCUCUUCUCAAAGAGGGGAAAAAAAAUUGCUGCUUUUAUGUUGUAGGAGGUUAGUAUUGCACAGCUAUAAAACCACUUGUGCUCAGAACUGUUGGUGUUGCCUUCACUGAAGGGUGUUGGGUAAGGAGCUGCCAGCUGGAAAAGUGACGGCAUAGACAAGGACACUGAGUGAUGUCAGAUUUGCCAGGCAAGCUUCCCUCUGUGGACAGGAGUUUGCCUGCAGAGUUUUACCCUGCAUGUCCAGUUCUGUUUGCUAUUUUAAUCUGCUGUGAGAACUGAUAAAAUGCUUUUGCAUGGUUUGCUUAUUAGCCCUAAAUUGCUGAAGCUUUCAACAGGUUAAAAUCCACCACAUUGUUUAUUUCAUGGGGGAAUAAAGAUCUGUAGAAUUAUACCA
ensembl:lncRNA